CCAAUUUCAAAGAGGCAGCAGGCGCGCAAUUACCCAAUCCUGACUCAGGGAGGUAGUGACAAGAAAUAACAAUAAACCGGCUUAUGCCGGUUUAAUUGGAAUGAGUACAAUUUAAACAUCUUAACGAGGAACAAUUGGAGGGCAAGUCUGGUGCCAGCAGCCGCGGUAAUUCCAGCUCCAAUAGCGUAUACUAAAGUUGUUGCAGUUAAAAAGCUCGUAGUUGGAUUUCUGUGGGGACGGAGCGGCCGGCCGCACAUCGCGGUUCGAGCUAGCGCUUUCCCUACAUCCUGCCGCGAACCGUGCUACCAUUAAUUUGGUGGCGCUGGGGAUCGGCUCGAUUACUUUGAGAAAAAUAGAGUGUUCAAAGCAGGCCACAUGCCUUGAAUAAGUUAGCAUGGAAUAAUAACUAAGGACUUCGGUUCUAUUUUGUUGGUGUUCGGGACUGAAGUAAUGAUUGAUAGGGACAGUUGGGGCGGCCUGUAUUCCAAAGCGAGAGGUGAAAUUCUUAGACCUUCGGAAGACAAACAGCUGCGAAAGCGUUCCGCAAGGAUGUUCCCUUUGAUCAAGAACGAAAGUUGGGGGAUCGAAGACGAUCAGAUACCGUCGUAGUCUCAACUAUAAACUAUACCAGCGAGGGAUCGGCCAACGUUAUUUUAUACCGACUUGGUCGGCACCUUAUGAGAAAUCAAAGCAUCUGGGUUCCGGGGGGAGUAUGGUCGCAAGGCUGAAACUUAAAGGAAUUGACGGAAGGGCACCACCAGCCGUGGAGCCUGUGGCUUAAUUUGACUCAACACGGGAAAACUUACCAGGUCCAGACAUAGUAAGGAUUGACAGAUUGAUAGCUCUUUCUUGAUUCUGUGGGUGGUGGUGCAUGGCCGUUCUUAGUUGGUGGAGUGGUUUGUCUGGUUAAUUCCGUUAACGAACGAGACCCCAGCCUGCUAAAUAGCGCGCGUGAGCUUUGCUCGCGGCGAGCUUCUUAGAGGGACUAUGAUGCGCGAUAGCACAUGGAAGUUUGGGGCAAUAACAGGUCUGUGAUGCCCUUAGAUGUUCUGGGCCGCACACGGGCUACACUGGCGCCUGCAACGAGCGUAUCAGCUGGCCCGAGAGGGUCUUGGCUAAUCUUUUGAACCGGCGCCGUGCUUGGGAUUGACCUUUGCAAUUGUUGGUCAUGCAACGAGGAAUGCCUUGUAAACGCGAGUCAUCAGCUCGCAUUGAAUACGUCCCUGCCCUUUGUACACACCGCCCGUCGCUCCUACCGAUGAAUGUUCCGAUGAAAUUUUCGGAGAGCACCUGUGAACUUGGCUCUGCCUUGCGAACGGGAGGCUCAAAGUCACAUAAAUCUGAACAUUAG
rnacentral:rRNA from 1 species